rnacentral:rRNA from 1 species
AUUGAACGCUGGCGGCAUGCCUUACACAUGCAAGUCGAACGGCAGCACGGGUGCUUGCACCUGGUGGCGAGUGGCGAACGGGUGAGUAAUACAUCGGAACAUGUCCUGUAGUUGGGGAUAGCCCGGCGAAAGCCGGAUUAAUACCGCAUACGAUCUACGGAUGAAAGCGGGGGACCUUCGGGCCUCGCGCUAUAGGGUUGGCCGAUGGCUGAUUAGCUAGUUGGUGGGGUAAAGGCCUACCAAGGCGACGAUCAGUAGCUGGUCUGAGAGGACGACCAGCCACACUGAGACGGAGACACGGACCAGACUCCUACGGGAGGCAGCAGUGGGGAAUUUUGGACAAUGGGCGAAAGCAUGAUCCAGCAAUGCCGCGUGUGUGAAGAAGGCCUUCGGGUUGUAAAGCACUUUUGUCCGGAAAGAAAACCUUGGCCCUAAUACGGUCGGGGGAUGACGGUACCGGAAGAAUAAGCACCGGCUAACUACGUG